CUCAGGAGUGCCUGUCACAAAGGCCUGGGCACAGCCAGGGAGGUCAUAAUGGGCUGGGGUGGUGGCCAGAGUCAGGGCUGGUGGGGCCCCUCCCCCCAGGUGCCUGUUCCUGAAGUGUCCUUCUCCGCUCCUUCCCCCUCACCGCCAUGCAUCUUCCCCACCCCAGCUCCCUGACCUGCAUUAGUCAUUUUCUGAAAAUGUAACAGAUAAUGCAGGUGCAAAGUUAAAACAAAAUCAAACACCAGACGUGUUAUCCAGUGUGGUCCUCCCACCCCAGUUCCCACCACCCACCACCCCCAAAAGCCUGAUCAUUAAGAUCCUUCUGGGGUUCGGCUGCACAUUCUGCCCAGCUGGGCCGCAUCCCCCCCCCCCCCCACUUCAUACAGAAGAGCUUAUCCCACAGCCUGGCUUUUGCACCUAAUCGAUCUUUGGGAUUUAAAAAAAAAUAAUCUUUUGAACAUUUACUUUAAUGGUUCUAUAAGGACGAUUAUCAUCCUCUUUAUAGGUGGGGACACUGAGGCAUGAAGACACUGGGUCCCUUGCCCAAGGUCACUCCACUGUUAAGUGAUGGAACCAGAUAGCUGCUGGAGCAUCUUCAUGUCAGUCCCCAGGGAAGAGGCCCUCCUGUCUGAGCAAAUGUCUAGCUGCUGUAUUUCUGCGGUCUGGAAUAGGGGACAGCAUGGGGAGUCCUCAGGUCACCUGCUGUCCUGCCAUCACCAUCAGUAGAGCACCAUUUGCCUCGCCUCCGCGUUGGAUGGUCAUGUCGAACUGUCCCCUAGCAAGCCCUGUUUUCCUGCUUGUCUCCACCCAGGCAGUGCCACUAAUCUAGUCCCCACAUCCUGUCUGGAGAAGUUAGUUAAAAUCUCUCGUGUGCUGA